rnacentral:lncRNA from 1 species
GAAACUUCUAACUCUUCAACUGAAAAUAUAAAGGCGUUAGGAAGCAAUCACCACCGCAGGUACUGGUGAAACCGAUAAAAAUAGAUAUCGCUUGCAUAUUUCUCAUUGUCAUUAUCAGGGCUGCACAUUUAAAGUAAUAAAAAAUGACAAGUGUUUUUUAAAAAAAAAACAACAAUUUGAAAUGCAGUGCUAAAUCCAUCGCUGAACAUUAGGUGUAUAUGUAGUUUGCAUGGAUUCAGUCAAUUAAGAUGAUUUUCAGUGCACUUUUAUCCGGUAAUUACUUUUGGAUCUAGCACGUCUGAAUAAUUCCUUUUAUUAGCUGGAGCUGCGUUUUUGCCCUUAUUUUGUGAAAUAAAUGUGAAGAAAUUACAUUUACGAUGACUUAUAGCAACAGGUCUAAACCAACUAUGUGUGUGUGUGUGUUCUUACAUCUUUAGGUGUAUGUUAUAUUAUCAUGUAUGUUUUCUGCUAAAAAUACCAGCAUACACUACAAGGUUCUCUGGUAUGCUUAGUCCAUAAUGUGAAAUCUACAAGGCAGUGACACUAGGAGAGCAAUCAACCAUUCUUUAGACUACCUCCAAAUUGCAAAGAAAACCAAAUAAUCUCAAGUCCGUAUAAAAUAUAACGGGAAGGCUGACAAGGGGAUAUUUUUAGGAACCGUGUCUAAAUAUACAGAGUAAGAGUGAAUGUUAAAAAAAAAAGUUGUGGGUUGUAGAAGUUAUCAAGUGGGAUUUGCGGCGCGCUCUCUGCAGGAAACGAAAGCUGCUCCAGUUCAAAGCCACAUGCACCAACGUGACAUAUAAGCCAUUAAAAUAUCCUCCUGACGGCUCAUUUCUGUUUCAUCAUACAUUCCCUAACUGCUUCCAGAAAGCAAGAAAAGAAGAAAUGAAGGAUGACCGCCUCGCUGGAACCGCCAAAGAGGGACAAAGUCAGGAAAUGAGACACAAGACUUCUCUGGUAAUGAGGAAAAGAAAACGACUUUACAGAAACAUCCUGGAAAAGUCAAAUGUUUUCUCCCUUGACUGAGAAGUGUCAGAAUUGAUGGAUAACAAGUAUGUAGAGAUGAAGUGUUUUAAGGAGGUAUGAGGAAACAGCUAUAUUUGGAAGUCACACUCUCAGUAUAUUUGUAAGUAGCAGAUUAAUAAUUCCUAACGUUUAUCUCUUCUGUGCACUCCUAUUGAGAUGGGCAGGAAUAGGAAUGUCAAAUGCAUUACUUAGUGCAAAUAGACUUGAAAGUUAAGAUGUUGUGGCGCUAACUGCUGGUGUGUGAUUUAAAAUGCCUGAGUAAACAUGUUAUGUAAGGAUGGAUAACUAAUUGUAUCAUGUGUCAUUUUUCAUCAUCUCAAGUCAAAAAUAUGUACACAAUAAUGUAAACACAACGAUCUAGCUAAAUAUUAGCUUUGUGUUACAUAAAACAGAGUCAAAUCCGGGCUCAUUCCAAAAAUAUGUAACCGUAGCCAACGCUCGCUAUGCAAAGCAGUAAUAAAAAUGUCCCAUAUAUAAUUACGUACGUCCUA